rnacentral:rRNA from 1 species
CCUACGGGCGGCAGCAGUGGGGAAUAUUGGACAAUGGGGGGAACCCUGAUCCAGCCAUGCCGCGUGUGUGAAGAAGGCCCUCGGGUUGUAAAGCACUUUCAGUGAGGAAGAACGCCUGGUGGUUAAUACCCAUCAGGAAAGACAUCACUCACAGAAGAAGCACCGGCUAACUCCGUGCCAGCAGCCGCGGUAAUACGGAGGGUGCGAGCGUUAAUCGGAAUUACUGGGCGUAAAGCGCGCGUAGGUGGCUUGAUAAGCCGGUUGUGAAAGCCCCGGGCUCAACCUGGGAACGGCAUCCGGAACUGUCAAGCUGGAGUGCAGGAGAGGAAGGUAGAAUUCCCGGUGUAGCGGUGAAAUGCGUAGAGAUCGGGAGGAAUACCAGUGGCGAAGGCGGCCUUCUGGACUGACACUGACACUGAGGUGCGAAAGCGUGGGUAGCAAACAGGAUUAGAUACCCUAGUAGUC